UUUUGAAGAAUGAGCCUGCGAGUCAGCGGCAUGUCGCGAGGUUAACCCGUGUGGGGUAGCCGUAGCGAAAGCGAGUCUGAAUAGGGCGCAUGAGUACGUGGUCGUAGACCCGAAACCAGGUGAUCUACCCAUGUCCAGGGUGAAGUUCAGGUAACACUGAAUGGAGGCCCGAACCCACGCACGUUGAAAAGUGCGGGGAUGAGGUGUGGGUAGGGGUGAAAUGCCAAUCGAACCUGGAGAUAGCUGGUUCUCUCCGAAAUAGCUUUAGGGCUAGCCUCAAGGUAAGAGUCUUGGAGGUAGAGCACUGAUUGGACUAGGGGCCCCUACCGGGUUACCGAAUUCAGUCAAACUCCGAAUGCCAAAGACUUAUCCUUGGGAGUCAGACUGCGAGUGAUAAGAUCCGUAGUCGAAAGGGAAACAGCCCAGACCGCCAGCUAAGGUCCC
rnacentral:rRNA from 15 species